ensembl:lncRNA
CACAGACACUGCAGCAUAUUUUCAGCUGAGAGACUCAAACACAGGCUUUGUGUUGUUUUCCUCUCUGGUUUUAAAUCUGUUAAACGCAGACUUUAAACUAAAUUUUCUUUUUAGAAGAAGCUUCCUGCUGCUUUGUGGGACCUCCAGCUGUUGCACUCUGCAUUGACCUGACCCUGACACGUGUGACUGUGCAGUGAUUCAUUGUCUGAACUGGUUUAGCCGUUGGGUGUGAAAAUCUGCCGGAGAAGAUGUUUGCUGCUGAAGCUAAAGCAUUUGUCCAGACGCUGGGAGGAACAGACCUCAUCUCUAAUGAUAACUUAAACUGUAAAAUGGAUCUGCUGACUCUGGUCAAAGUCACUGAGGGAAUUUUUUGGCCGGUACAGAAGUACAAAGUGAUACACUAUAGCCUGCCCGAGCUCACCGAGGAAGAAAACUUCUCUCCAGUUCACCCUCACUGAGCUGACCUGCAUGACAGCAUGCUGACCUCAUAUGAAACAGAAAAAAAUGAAA